rnacentral:rRNA from 1 species
UUGAACAGCCAUACUCUGAAGCCCAACACCGGUUUAUCACUGAAGCAGGGUUGAGCCUGCUUAGUACUUGGAUGGGAGACCACAUGGAAAAAUUAGGUUGCUGUUAGAA